UACGAAGGGGGGCUAGCGUUGCUCGGAAUCACUGGGCGUAAAGCGCACGUAGGCGGAUUCCUAAGUCGGUGGUGGAAUCCUGGAGCUCAACUCCAGAACUGCCUCCGAUACUGAGAGUCUUCGAGUCCGGGAGAGGUGAGUGGAACUGCGAGUGUAGAGGUGAAAUUCGUAGAUAUUCGCAAGAACACCAGUGGCGAAGGCGGCUCACUGGCCCGAUACGUGACGCUGAGGCGCGAAGGUCAGGGG
rnacentral:rRNA from 1 species